GGAAUCUUAUAAACCUGCCUGAGGCAGUGCUAGCUCUACACUUUACCCAGGAAAUCCUGUCAGUGGGAAGUGGGCUUCAACAGCACACUGUACAGAGGGGAAACUGAGGCUUGGCCUGUGAAGGCAAAGUAAGUUAUGCUGGAGUCAAACCUGGGACCUUAUUCAUGCUGGGCAAGUGCUCCACCACCAAGCUAUAUUCCCAGAGCCCCAUUUUAUAGAAAACACACACACACACACACAGAGAGAGAGAGAGAGAGAGAGAGAGAGAGAGAGAGAGAGAGAGAGAGAGAGAGAUUUACUACAAGCCAAGUCUUGCCUGGUGGUGGUGGUGCACGCCUUUAUCCCAG
rnacentral:lncRNA from 1 species